rnacentral:misc_RNA from 1 species
AACUUUUGGCAAUGCAUCUCUUGGCCCUCGCAUCGAUGAAGAACGCAGCGAAAUGCGAUACGUAAUGUGAAUUGCAGAAUUCAGUGAAUCAUCGAAUCUUUGAACGCACAUUGCACUCUCCGGUAUUCCGGAGAGUAUGCUUGUUUGAGUAUCUGUAAACCUCUCAACUCUAACGGCGCUUGCGUCGCGAGGAUUGGAUUUGAGCGAUCCCGACUCUUUCUCACGAAAGAGGAGGGUCGCUUGAAAUGCAGGUGCAGCAGGACAUUCUUCUGAGCUAAAAGCAUAUCUAUUUAGUCCCGUCAAACGGAUUAUUACUUUUGCUUCAGCUAACAUAAAGGUCGAAUGCGCCACAAUCGCUGAUUGCAGGAAAACUCGUUCGUAAGAACUUGUAAACUCGAUCUCAAAUCAAGUAAGACUACCCGCUGAACUUAAGCAUAUCAAUAAGCGGAGGCU